CAGACAGGUUCUUUAGAACUUCUAACGGGAUGCAUUAAACACUGGACUUCUGAAGAGCAGCCAAGUUCAGCUGUAAAUUUACGGUUUGUUCUUGAGUGGACGUGGAACAAAGUGAUCUGUACAAAAGAUGAACUGGACCAAAUCUGUGUUCCGCUGUUUGACGGCUCGUGCAACUUCAUUGACCCACAGACGUUACAGUCCCUUCAGCACUGCCAGCUGCUUCUGAGCAACCUCAGCACAGUCCUGAACUGUUUUCUAACAGAAGCUCGAGAGCUUACUGAGA